ACCUUUUAAUCGCUUAAACUGACAAGGAUUACACCUUUUUAGUGCGGGGGAACCAAUGAAUUUGGCAAGGAUUAUAUUGUCUUGGGGUGAGUCUUCAUAAUUGAAGAAGGGAUACUCUCAGUUCCUAACCCGACAGCUAACUCCGUAAGCGUUAAAUGUAGAAGAG
rnacentral:sRNA from 2 species